rnacentral:rRNA from 1 species
UACGUAGGGUGCGAGCGUUGUCCGGAAUUAUUGGGCGUAAAGAGCUCGUAGGCGGUGUGUCACGUCGGCCGUGAAAACUUGCAGCUUAACUGUGGGCGUGCGGUCGAUACGGGCAUCACUGGAGUUCGGCAGGGGAGACUGGAAUUCCUGGUGUAGCGGUGAAAUGCGCAGAUAUCAGGAGGAACACCGGUGGCGAAGGCGGGUCUCUGGGCCGAUACUGACGCUGAGGAGCGAAAGCGUGGGGAGCAAACAGG